rnacentral:sRNA from 1 species
UAGAAGGCCAAGAGACUGAAGUUCUCCAUUUUAUCACAGAACAGGUAGAACAUGGACAGCAGUAAUUCACCUUUCCCCACACUGCCCUGCCAAUAUGCCUUGACCCUGACCUGGGGGUGGCCUGCCUCUGGGGUGAGAGGGUGGUUCAUUGAUUCAGUCCUUGGUCAUUCUUCUGAAACUGACUGCA